rnacentral:rRNA from 1 species
GACGAACGCUGGCGGCGUGCUUAACACAUGCAAGUCGAACGAUGAAGCCGCUUCGGUGGUGGAUUAGUGGCGAACGGGUGAGUAACACGUGGGCAACCUGCCCUCAGCUUUGGGAUAACUCCGGGAAACCGGGGCUAAUACCGGAUACGACCAUUCCCCGCAUGGGGUGGUGGUGGAAAGUUUUUCGGCUGGGGGAUGGGCCCGCGGCCUAUCAGCUUGUUGGUGGGGUGAUGGCCUACCAAGGCGUCGACGGGUAGCCGGCCUGAGAGGGCGACCGGCCACACUGGGACUGAGACACGGCCCAGACUCCUACGGGAGGCAGCAGUGGGGAAUAUUGCGCAAUGGGCGAAAGCCUGACGCAGCGACGCCGCGUGAGGGAUGACGGCCUUCGGGUUGUAAACCUCUUUCAGCUCCGACGAAUUCAGACGGUAGGAGCAGAAGAAGCACCGGCCAACUACGUG